GAUCAUGGCUCAGGAUGAACGCUAGCUACAGGCUUAACACAUGCAAGUCGAGGGGCAGCAUGAACUUAGCUUGCUAAGUUUGAUGGCGACCGGCGCACGGGUGAGUAACACGUAUCCAACCUGCCGAUGACUCGGGGAUAGCCUUUCGAAAGAAAGAUUAAUACCCGAUGGCAUAAUUCUUCCGCAUGGUAGAAUUAUUAAAGAAUUUCGGUUCAUCGAUGGGGAGUGCGUUCCAUUAGG
rnacentral:rRNA from 1 species